UGGGGGAGGGGGGUGGUUGUUUCACCUUGAUGAUAAGCAGUACUGAAUGUAUCUUACCAUAUGAGACUGAAAUUAUGUUACAUAGUUUCACCUUGUUUUCUUUGCUUAGUUUCACCUUGUUUUCUUUGCUUUUUACUGAAUUAAUUGUAAUUUGCAAAAAUUACUUGUUCUGUUAGACUCUUGUUAAAUAAAAAUGUUACUUAAAAGAAUAUCUAACAGAAGAAAAUUUAAAUCAUG
rnacentral:lncRNA from 1 species